rnacentral:rRNA from 1 species
GAUGAACGCUAGCGGCAGGCUCAAUACAUGCAAGUCGUGGGGCAGCAGGGGUGUAGCAAUACAUCUGCUGGCGACCGGCAAACGGGUGCGUAACACGUACGCAACCUUCCCGUUACUGUGGCAUAGCCCAGGGAAACUUGGAUUAAUACCACAUAUUAUAUAGAGAGGGCAUCCUUUUUAUAUCAAAGCUUCGGCGGUAACGGAUGGGCGUGCGGUUGAUUAGGUAGUUGGCGGGGUAACGGCCCACCAAGCCUACGAUCAAUAGCUGAUGUGAGAGCAUGAUCAGCCACACGGGCACUGAGACACGGGCCCGACUCCUACGGGAGGCAGCAGUAAGGAAUAUUGGGCAAUGGACGAAAGUCUGACCCAGCCAUGCCGCGUGAAGGAUUAAGGUCCUCUGGAUUGUAAACUUCUUUUCUCUGGGGCGAAAACCAGCUAUUCUUAGCUAUUUGACAGUACCAGAGGAAUAAGCACCGGCUAACUCCGUGCCAGCAGCCGCCGUAAUAC